rnacentral:lncRNA from 13 species
AGGAAGCUGAGCACCUCAUGUCUCAGCCUUUCACAGGACUUGGUAGAACAGUAUUUGCAAUAUUCACUUUUCUUUGAUUUUCCCCCCUAACCCACACACUCAUACACCCACACAAAAUUUGGACACAGAUUAAGGUUUGGAGAUACAUUUUUUAUAACACAGCAUUUGGGUUUUCUACCAACUUGAGAUCUACUUCUUUAUUAUCUUUUUGGAGAACAGGAAUCUUUGUCUGGAAAUUCCACAAGUUUGCCUUCUGCAAGAUUAAAAGUGCCACAAAGAACAAAAAUGAGCCUAGGACCAGGUGCACACUAGAAGCCAUUAGACAUGUUAAAGUUUCAUCUCCAUUGACCUGGUUUUCACAGUGACUGCCCUGGGGACUUAAUUAUUUUCCUGUGUUGCAAUGUUCCAGAUUGAAUUAUGCUAAAAAUAUAAAUAUGGAAUUUGCCUUUAAGCAAAGGUAAGCCAGUUCCCCAGUAGCUAUAGUUUGUUUAAAUUUCAGUUUUGACAGAUGACAAACAUUUUCAAUGAUCCCAAAUAUCACACU